UUGUAGUAAGUCCACCAAUUACUAAUAUAUUUUCUAAUUCCUCAUAAGUCUCUCUUGAAUAUAUUUCUAUUAUAACAUUUCCAUCCAUACUUAUAGCUAAAUUCUCCAAAACCUUUAUCAAAUCAUCUUCUAAACCUAUUUCUUCUAUUACUUUGACUAUGGCUCCAUCACUUGAAACUAAAUCCAUUCUUUUUAAGUUUUUCUCUUGUUUCUUCAUCCUUCUUCUAUGUACAAAAUCUAAAUCUUUAAUCUUUUAAUACUUACAAA
rnacentral:lncRNA from 1 species